rnacentral:rRNA from 1 species
UAUGGAGGGUGCGAGCGUUGUCCGGAAUCAUUGGGCGUAAAGGGCGCGUAGGUGGCCCGGUCAGUUCGUGGUGAAAGCGCGGGGCUCAACCCUGCGUCGGCCAUGAAUACUGCCGCGGCUGGAGCACUGUAGAGGCAGGCGGAAUUCCGGGUGUAGCGGUGGAAUGCGUAGAGAUCCGGAAGAACACCGGUGGCGAAGGCGGCCUGCUGGGCAGUUGCUGACACUGAGGCGCGAAAGCCAGGGGAGCAAACGGG